UGUCAAUCUGUUCUGGUGGAUCACAUCUUUGUGUUGUUGGAAGUUGCAAGAACUUUUCUGAUAGAUUUCAGCAGAACUAAGAAUUACUUGAUUCUAUUGUUGACUUGAUCUCUGCUUUUUGAAACUUUGGACCAGUCUGCGGGUGAGAUGAGUCUUCUGCUUAUUAACACAAGUAUGAAAAAUAGCUCAUGUUCAAGAUCACAGCAUGCAUAGGAGUCCAAACCAUCUUGAGAUAUUGGACAAAGGAAUUAGAGGUCAGCUGGGCAGAAAAAUGUCAGUGUCUUAUGUCUACGCUGGAUAGAAGAAGAAUUAAGAGACUUAUUGAUUCGAGGAAGAUUUAGACCAGUCACUGAGGAGGAACUAGCAGGAAGAGAUUUUCAAGGCAGGUCCUUGGGCUGUGUGUGGCAAUUGGGCACGUACCUGUUGGAAAUGCUUCAGGCAGAGAGCAACCUGUCUGUAGAGCCCCGGUACAGCAGGGUGCUGGCCUGAAACCAAUGUUCUGUGGGACUGGAGCCAGAAACAGGAUCAGGGUUGCAGGAAGAACCCUGAAAAGAAAGGCUCUUCUUUCAGAAAGUGGAGCUCCAUGAGCUGUCGGCAUCCCAGGGGCAGAGCAGAGGCAGAUUUUGGCUGUGAAGUUGACCCAGCCAAUGCCACGCAGGACAAGGUGGCAUUGAGAAGGUCCACAGCAGCAGCAUGUGUGCUGGAGGGGAACCACAAGCCGUGAAGGAUAGGGCAAAAGUGCCCGCUUCAUAAAUACACAUAAACAAACAAAACAGCUCACCAGCAGACAAAAUUCAGUGCUUCAGUGACCAUGGUUUCUCCUCUGCGAAGGCCCUCCUGUUGCCUUAGAAAAUUAUCAUCCCGUUUACUUAAUUAGGCUGACUCCAAGCUUUAGGCAUCGGCCUGCCAAGAUGAUGCACACAGCUCUUGUCUAUUUGCCCUCAGCAAGCUUGCCUGCCUUGCCCUCUUCUGUGCUCUGAAACCCAGAAAUUCCACACAGAUGGUAUUUUUUAAGGUGUUUCUAAUAGCAAUGAUUUGGAAGGGAAUGCUGAGCCUUCUUGAAAUAUGGAGGAGACAUUGACGAGACCACUGUGUUUUCUGUUUGCGUGUGAAUGACAGAUGCUAUUCACAUCAAACAGAGGAUGCAUAAAGUCAUGGUGAUUGUAAAGACGUGGUGGGCAUAUUUCUGCACUGCAAAACUCAGGAACACGGCCUGCCAGGUAGUUCAUCCCCACGUGCUGGAGGAGCCGUGCCCUUUGGUUGUUCAUCAUCAAUAGGACUGAAAGCCUCUUGGAAAAAAAAGAGAGUCAAUGACCUCUAUAGCAUCACGUCAAACUUCCAGACUGCUGAUCAUCACAGUGUCAGUCCUUCAUUUUAGAGAAGUUUCUCUUUUACAGUACUAGCGCGGGGUUCUGGUGGCAGCAUUUGGAGAAGGAAUGGUGAGCUAAAGUGUGAAAAGUGAAUGCAAAAGGCUGUGGAAAGAUGUAUCCACCUGGUUUUACUGAAGAAAACAAUACAGCUCCCCAAGUGCUGGUGAAGCCCUUUCGUUGCUUUUUGCGUGGUUCAGCUCCUGCUUCCCUCUGAUUUCGUUAGUGUUUGGCCGAAUCCCAAUUCCUUUUGAAGAUGAUUAAUUGCAGAACAGCUUAUCCUUAUUAGUGGUACUCAGACCCAACUGAAUUUACCAAAGAAGUAAUUACCAGGGUCUUGGUGAUGGGUUUCCUAUUGAAAACGCUUGGGUUGACUGCAGGAGGAGCUGGGAACCAGGGUUUCCCAUGGCUUUGGACAGCUGGGAAACACAUUUCAGCCACAAAAGCACUCAGGGACCUCUAGCCCUCGCAUCCACAUCCAAUGUCCUGUCCCCACCAUCACUGGCCCUGUGCCGAGGAUCACGUGGCACCGUGAUGGGAUCACACGUUUACCAAAGCCACUCUUGUCACCGUAUGGGAACACAAUGUUUCUCCCUGCCUCUAGAAGCUGAGAAUUGGAAGAGGUCAUGAACAUCAACAAAUAUUGUCCAGAUUUUCUUCAGGUCCCUUUGUUGCUAAGGGAGUUUGACACUGCCAUGAUGAGCACUGCAGGAAUUCAGAAUGCACCAGCAUGAAUUGUAGAAUCAUAUACUGGUUUGGGUUGGAGGGGACCUUUGAGAUCAUGUAGUUCCAAUCCUCCUGCUAUAGGCAGGGACACCUCCUCUAGACCAAGUUGCUCAAAGCCCCAUCCAGCCUGGCCUUGAAUGCUUCCGGGGAGGGGGCAUCCACAGCCUCGCUGGGCAACCUGUUCCAGUGUCUCACUACCCUCACAAUAAAGAAUUUCUUUCUGAUAUCUAGUCUAGAUCUACCCUCUUCUGCUUUAAAGCCAUUUCCCCUCGUGCUUUUGAAGGAGAAGCAUUUUUAUGGGUAACCACACACUUUACUUUAGGAAGUAUUUACACAGCUGUGACCUUUUUGAACGAUAAGCUCCCCUGGUGUUUGGGAGCAGUGUCAUCUUCAAAUGGCAUGGCUAGACCUAGAGGUUGCCUGCUUGAGGGCCCUGCCCACCCGUGAUCUUCUCCCCCUCUCCCUCUACCUCUUAAGUUCUUUACAAGGAGAGUGGUGAGGUGCUGGAACGGGCUGCCCAGAGAGGCUGUGGAUGCCCCGUCCCUGGAGGUGUUCAAGGCCACGUUGGAUGGGGCCCUGGGCAACCUGGUCUAGUAAAUGGGGAGGUUGGUGGCCCUGCUAGCAGGGGGGUUGGAGAUUCAUGAUCCUUGAGGUCCCUUCCAACCCAGGCCAUUCUGUGAUUCUGUGAUUCUGUGUGAUUCUGUGAUACCUGGAGUAUCCCACCCCCCUAUGCCCCUGUCUCACCCCAGCUCCUCUCCUUGUCCCGGCCACUCCCAGCCCUCACUGCUUACCACCUCCCUUCCUCUUCUACAGAUCCACUGCUGAAAAAGAGACAUAAAUCCAAAAACAUCACUGGUGCCUCAUGUGCAAACACUUUAACAUUAAGCUGACACAGUCCUGUUGUUCA
rnacentral:lncRNA from 1 species